ACCCAGCAUCCUCUACUGUUAUACCUUUACCCAGCAUCCUCUACAGCAAUACCACUACCCAGCAUCCUCUACUGCUAUACCACUAUCCAGCAUCCUCUACUGCUAUACCAUUACACUACCCAACAUCCUCUUCUGCUAUAGCUCUACAAUACCCAGCAUCCUCUACUGCUGUCCCACUUCCCAGCAUCCUCUACUACUAUAACACUACCCAGCAAUAUCCACUCAGGUAGAACUACUCUCCUGGGGGCCAGAUGAUGAUACCUGAUGCUGUGAUUAUGGAUUGACUGAUUUAUUGACUGGUUGAUGUAUUGAUUGGUUGAUGGAUUGAUGUAGUGACUAAUUGAUGUAUUGACUGGUUGAUGUAUUGACUGAUUGAUGGAUUGGUUGAUUGAUGUAUUGGAUCGUUGGUGUAUUGGUUGGUUGAUUGAUGUAUUGGUUGAUGUAUUGGUUGGUUGAUGUAUUGGUUGGUUGGUGUAUUGGUUGGUUGACUGAUGUAUUGGCUGAUGUAUUGGUUGGUUGACUGACAUAUUGAUUGAUGUAUUGGUUGAUGUAAAGGUUGCUUGAUUGAUGUAUUUGUUUAUGUAUUGGUUGACUGAUUGAUGUAUUGGUUGAUUGAUGUAUUGGUUAAUGUAUUGGUUGGUUGAUUGACAUAUUGGUUGAUUGAUGUAUUGGUGGGUUAGUUGAUUAUUGAUUGGUUGAUUACUGUAUUGGUUGGUUGAUGUAUUGGUUGGUUGAUGUAUUGUUAAUGUAUUGGUUGGUUGAUGUAUUGGUUGAUGUAUUGGUUGAUGCAUUGGUUGCUUGAUUGAUGUAUUUGUUUAUGUAUUGGUUGACUGAUUGAUGUAUUGGUUGAUUGAUGUAUUGGUUAAUGAAUUGGUUGGUUGAUUGACAUAUUGGUUGAUUGAUGUAUUGGUGGGUUAGUUGAUUAUUGAUUGGUUGAUUGAUGUAUUGAUUGAUGUAUUGGUUGGUUGAUUGAUGUAUUGGUUGAUUACUGUAUUGGUUGGUUGAUGUAUUGGUUGGUUGAUGUAUUGUUAAUGUAUUGGUUGG
rnacentral:lncRNA from 1 species